rnacentral:rRNA from 1 species
ACUCCUACGGGAGGCAGCAGUGGGGAAUAUUUGCACAAUGGGGGAAACCCUGAUGCAGCCAUGCCGCGUGUGUGAAGAAGGCCUUCGGGUUGUAAAGCACUUUCAGUAGGGAGGAAGGUAGUGUAGUUAACACCUGCACUAUUUGACGUUACCUACAGAAGAAGCACCGGCUAACUACCGUGCCAGCAGCCGCGGUAAUACGGAGGGUGCGAGCGUUAAUCGGAAUUACUGGGCGUAAAGCGCAUGCAGGCGGCCUGUUAAGUCAGAUGUGUAAAGCCCGGGGACUUAACCUCGGAAUUGCGAAUUUGAAACUGGCAAGGCUAGAGUCUUGGUAGAGGGGGGUAGAAUUUCAAGGUGUAGCGGUGAAAUGCGUAGAGAUCUAGAAGGAAUACCAGUAGGCGAAGGCGGCCCCCUAGGACAAAGACUGAACGCUCAGAUGCGAAAAGCGUAGGGGAGCAAACAGGAUUAGAUACCCUGGUAGAUAGCG